CAGAACAUUGGCAGAAAUGGAUAUUAAAUCAACACCUAUCGACACCAAGGGCUUUCAGGAACUUGUUAAAUUGAAGGAGACCAUGAUAGGAAAUAGUUUUGAUUUGUUCAGUGGAUUAUUCGUGUAUAACAGAUUCGCCAGACAGGAGCUGGAAAACCUUGAACAUGCCUUGCAAAAAGUCAAAGAAACGCUGGUUGAAAGGAUGAACGAGGAGAAGGGUCAAGAAAAGAACUGAUGUUAUGCAUAAUUUUAUAUGAGAUAUAUUCUCGAACAAUCAAGUUUCCUCUUGUUCCAGUCAUAAAUUAUUCCCAUUUCAGUUUUACAGUUACCAAAAUGAAGUCAACUAAUAAACCAAAUACACUUGCAUAUGUUCAAUCUUGCUAUAAAAAUAUGGGAUGAUCUUGUUCCCAGUA